GUGCUGACUUUAGCAGUAUAUACAGUAAAAUUGGACUGAUACAGAGAAGAUGAGUAUGGCCCCUGCACAAGGAUGAUGUGCAAAUUAAUGAAGCCUUUCAUAUUAAA